rnacentral:rRNA from 1 species
AAGGGGGAGGUGUACGUGAUACAUGCAGUCGAGCGAACGGACGAGAAGCUUGCUUCUCUGAUGUUAGCGGCGGACGGGUGAGUAACACGUGGAUAACCUACCUAUAAGACUGGGAUAACUUCGGGAAACCGGAGCUAAUACCGGAUAAUAUUUUGAACCGCAUGGUUCAAAAGUGAAAGACGGUCUUGCUGUCACUUAUAGAUGGAUCCGCGCUGCAUUAGCUAGUUGGUAAGGUAACGGCUUACCAAGGCAACGAUGCAUAGCCGACCUGAGAGGGUGAUCGGCCACACUGGAACUGAGACACGGUCCAGACUCCUACGGGAGGCAGCAGUAGGGAAUCUUCCGCAAUGGGCGAAAGCCUGACGGAGCAACGCCGCGUGAGUGAUGAAGGUCUUCGGAUCGUAAAACUCUGUUAUUAGGGAAGAACAUAUGUGUAAGUAACUGUGCACAUCUUGACGGUACCUAAUCAGAAAGCCACGGCUAACUACGUGCCAGCAGCCGCGGUAAUACGUAGGUGGCAAGCGUUAUCCGGAAUUAUUGGGCGUAAAGCGCGCGUAGGCGGUUUUUUAAGUCUGAUGUGAAAGCCCACGGCUCAACCGUGGAGGGUCAUUGGAAACUGGAAAACUUGAGUGCAGAAGAGGAAAGUGGAAUUCCAUGUGUAGCGGUGAAAUGCGCAGAGAUAUGGAGGAACACCAGUGGCGAAGGCGACUUUCUGGUCUGUAACUGACGCUGAUGUGCGAAAGCGUGGGGAUCAAACAGGAUUAGAUACCCUGGUAGUCCACGCCGUAAACGAUGAGUGCUAAGUGUUAGGGGGUUUCCGCCCCUUAGUGCUGCAGCUAACGCAUUAAGCACUCCGCCUGGGGAGUACGACCGCAAGGUUGAAACUCAGAAAAUUUUGACCGGAA